GAUGAACGCUGGCGGCGUGCUUAACACAUGCAAGUCGAACGGUGAAGGCGGAGCUUGCUCUGCUGGAUCAGUGGCGAACGGGUGAGUAACACGUGAGCAAUCUGCCCCUGACUCUGGGAUAAGCGCUGGAAACGGCGUCUAAUACUGGAUACGAGCUGCGAAGGCAUCUUCAGCAGCUGGAAAGAAUUUCGGUCAGGGAUGAGCUCGCGGCCUAUCAGCUUGUUGGUGAGGUAAUGGCUCACCAAGGCGUCGACGGGUAGCCGGCCUGAGAGGGUUACCGGCCACACUGGGACUGAGACACGGCCCAGACUCCUACGGGAGGCAGCAGUGGGGAAUAUUGCACAAUGGGCGAAAGCCUGAUGCAGCAACGCCGCGUGAGGGACGACGGCCUUCGGGUUGUAAACCUCUUUUAGCAGGGAAGAAGCGAAAGUGACGGUACCUGCAGAAAAAGCGCCGGCUAACUACGUG
rnacentral:rRNA from 1 species